GAUGAACGCUGACAGAAUGCUUAACACAUGCAAGUCGAUGGGGAAGUGGUGCUUGCACCAUGGCAACCAUGGCGGACGGGUGAGUAACGCGUAAGGGACUUACCUGCAGGACUGGGAUAACAGGGGGAAACUCCUGACAAGACCGGAUAAUGUCAUAGAGCUGCAUGGCUUUAUGAUGAAAGGAGACGCCUGCGGAGAGCCUUGCGUCCUAUUAGCUAGUUGGUGAGGUAAUGGCUCACCAAGGCGAAGAUAGGUAGCCGGCCUGAGAGGGUGGACGGCCACAAGGGGACUGAGAUACGGCCCUUACUCCUACGGGAGGCAGCAGUGGGGAAUAUUGGACAAUGGGGGCAACCCUGAUCCAGCAAUUCUGUGUGCACGAAGAAGGUUUUCGGAUUGUAAAGUGCUUUCAGCAGGGAAGAAGUAAGUGACGGUACCUGCAGAAGAAGCGACGGCUAAAUACGUG
rnacentral:rRNA from 1 species